rnacentral:tRNA from 1 species
GCCAACUUAGCUCAAUUGGUAGAGCAGCUGAUUUGUAAUCAGCAGGUUACAGGUUCGACCCCUGCAGUUGGCU